CGUAGCUCAGGGGAUAGAGCACUGGGCUUCGAACCCAGGUGUCGGGGGUUCAAAUCCCUCCG
rnacentral:tRNA from 1 species